rnacentral:rRNA from 1 species
GACAGAGGGUGCAAACGUUGCUCGGAAUCAUUGGGCGUAAAGCGCGUGUAGGCGGCUUGUUACGUCGGGUGUGAAAUCCCGGGGCUCAACCCCGGCAGUGCACCCGAAACGGGGAAGCUAGAGUACUGGAGAGGCGAGUGGAAUUCCCGGUGUAGAGGUGAAAUUCGUAGAUAUCGGGAGGAACACCGGUGGCGAAGGCGACUCGCUGGCCAGGUUACUGACGCUGAGACGCGAAAGCGUGGGGAGCAAACAGG